rnacentral:rRNA from 1 species
AUUGAACGCUGGCGGCAUGCUUUACACAUGCAAGUCGAACGGUAACAGGCCGCAAGGUGCUGACGAGUGGCGAACGGGUGAGUAAUGCAUCGGAACGUGCCCAGUCGUGGGGGAUAACGCAGCGAAAGCUGCGCUAAUACCGCAUACGAUCUAAGGAUGAAAGCGGGGGACCGUAAGGCCUCGCGCGAUUGGAGCGGCCGAUGUCAGAUUAGGUAGUUGGUGGGGUAAAGGCUCACCAAGCCGACGAUCUGUAGCUGGUCUGAGAGGACGACCAGCCACACUGGAACUGAGACACGGUCCAGACUCCUACGGGAGGCAGCAGUGGGGAAUUUUGGACAAUGGGCGCAAGCCUGAUCCAGCAAUGCCGCGUGAGUGAUGAAGGCCUCGGUCGUAAGCUCUUUUACCAGGGAGUGAUAAUGACAGUACCUGGAGAA